AGGAUGGUAGUUAAGUAUAACAUUUGGGUUGCAUUCAAAAAGUAUUGAUUAUUCAAUCUAUCUUA
rnacentral:tRNA from 1 species